GACGAACCGCCCGAACGUUAUUCGGAAUUAUUGGGCUUAAAGGGUGCGUAGGCGGCGCUGUAAGUCGGGUGUGAAAUCCUUCGGCUUAACCGAAGAAUUGCGCCCGAAACUGCAGUGCUCGAGGGAGACAGAGGUAAGCGGAACUGAUGGUGGAGCGGUGAAAUGCGUUGAUAUCAUCAGGAACACCGGUGGCGAAAGCGGCUUACUGGGUCUCUUCUGACGCUGAGGCACGAAAGCUAGGGGAGCAAACGGG
rnacentral:rRNA from 1 species